UCGGCCCACGCCUCGCGGGCGGCGAGGAUGGCGGUCAUCUCGCUGCGGUCCAGGCGGCGGGCCUGGAUGCGGUCGAUCUUCUCGGUCGGUUCGACC
rnacentral:tRNA from 1 species